rnacentral:rRNA from 1 species
GAUGAACGCUGGCGGCGUGCCUAAUACAUGCAAGUCGAGCGAACGGACGAGAAGCUUGCUUCUCUGCUGUUAGCGGCUGACGGGUGAGUAACACGUGCAUCACCUACCUCUAAUACUUGGAUAACUUCGGGAAACCGUAGCUACUACCGGCUCAUAUUUUGAACCGCUUGGUUCAAAAGUUCAUGACAGUCUUGCUGUCUCUUAUAGCUGGUUCCGCGCUGCAUUAGCUAGUUGGUAAGGUAACGGCUUACCAAGGCAACGAUGCAUAGCCGACCUGAGAGGGUGAUAGGCAAACUGGGAACGGAGAAACGGUCCAGACUCCAAGGGAAGGCAGCAGGAGGGAUACUGCCGAAAUGGGCGAAAGCCUGACGGAGCAACGCGGCGUGAGGGAGGAAGGUCUUCGGAUCGUAAAACGCUGUUAUGAGGGAAGAACAUAGGUGGAAGUAACUGUGCACAUCUGGACGGUACCUAAGCAGAAAGCCACGGCAAACUACGU